UACGUAGGGUGCAAGCGUUACUCGGAAUUACUGGGCGUAAAGCGUGCGCAGGCGGUUAUGCAAGACAGGUGUGAAAUCCCCGGGCUCAACCUGGGAACUGAAUUUGUGACUGCAUAGCUGGAGUGCGGCAGAGGGGGAUGGAAUUCCGCGUGUAGCAGUGAAAUGCGUAGAUAUGCGGAGGAACACCGAUGGCGAAGGCAAUCCCCUGGGCCUGCACUGACGCUCAUGCACGAAAGCGUGGGGAGCAAACAGG
rnacentral:rRNA from 1 species